rnacentral:piRNA from 1 species
UGGUGACUUUGACUUUGACUUUGACU